rnacentral:lncRNA from 1 species
AUUCAAGGGUUCGGACACUUACCAGUUCCGAAUGUAAAUUUGGUUGGAGCAGGUUGAAGGUCUUGGUGCCGGGAGUAAUAAGUCUGAAAGGAAAUAAGUGAUCGGAGAAGGAAUGGUGGUUAGAAAUCUAGAGAGAAGGUUGGGAAGUUUAGAGAGAAAGAGGAGGAUUUGAGUUUUCAGAAAGUUGAAGUUUUGAGGAAGAAGAAGGUUUGCAUGGGAAAAGUGGCGUCAGGUUUCACUCUUACCUUAAAUACUGCCUCCACUAAGAACGUUCGGCCCACUCCCAGCUUGCCACCUGACUUCCACUUUCUGGAAGUUCACAUUCCUUCUGCUGCC